rnacentral:rRNA from 1 species
GAUGAACGCUAGCUACAGGCUUAACACAUGCAAGUCGAGGGGAAACGACAUCGAAAGCUUGCUUUUGAUGGGCGUCGACCGGCGCACGGGUGAGUAACGCGUAUCCAACCUGCCCAUCACUUGGGAAUAACCUUGCGAAAGUAAGACUAAUACCCAAUGAUAUCCCACGAAAGCAUCGGAAUGGGAUUAAAGAUUUAUCGGUGAUGGAUGGGGAUGCGUCUGAUUAGCUUGUUGGCGGGGUAACGGCCCACCAAGGCAACGAUCAGUAGGGGUUCUGAGAGGAAGGUCCCCCACAUUGGAACUGAGACACGGUCCAAACUCCUACGGGAGGCAGCAGUGAGGAAUAUUGGUCAAUGGGCGAGAGCCUGAACCAGCCAAGUAGCGUGCAGGAAGACGGCCCUAUGGGUUGUAAACUGCUUUUAUAAGGGAAUAAAGUGGGUCACGUGUGACUUUUUGCAUGUACCUUAUGAAUAAGGACCGGCUAAUUCCGUG